rnacentral:lncRNA from 1 species
CUGGAUCUAUUUGUUCUCCCUCUUAACUGUGAAUAGCAUGCCAAAUUCGCCUUUAGUAAUAGAGAUGUACAUACCUUGGUGUACAAGGACCCAUUGUACUCCUUUUUUGUAGCCUCAUAAUCUGUCCAUAUACAUGUUGUAGACCGUUCAAACUAGCACGGUGUUACUGAGAGCACAGUUCUAUGAUACCUUUGGGUCACCACAUCGGACCAAAAGUAUGGUGUUGUUCUUUUAUUGCCGAUGUGUCAUAGAAGUGAGAUGUCUUAUUGCUUAUG